rnacentral:rRNA from 1 species
AUUGAACGCUGGCGGCAGGCCUCACACAUGCAAGUCGAACGAGUGGCGGACGGGUGAGUAAUGUCUGUGACACUGCCCGAUGGAUGGGGAUAAAUACUGGCAACGGUAGCUAAUACCGCAUACCUUCGGAUGUGCCCAGAUGGGUUUAGCUAGUAGGUGGGGUAACCGCUCACCUAGGAGACGAUCCCUAGCUGCUCUGAGAGGAUGACCAGCCACACUGGAACUGAGACACGGUCCAGAAUCCUACGGGAGGCAGCCGUGGGGAAUAUGGUACAAUGGGCGCAAGCCUGAUGCAGACAUGCAGAGUGUAUGAAGAAGGCCUUCGGGUUGUAAAGUACUUUCAGCGAGGAGGCGUUACUCGCAGAAGAAGCACCGGCUAACUCCGAGCCAGCAGCCGCGGAAAUAC